rnacentral:rRNA from 1 species
CCCCUAGACGUUCUGGGCUGCACGCGCGCUACAAUAAUACGCACAGCGAGUAUCACCGAGCUCGAAAGGGCAAGGUAAACAAUAGAAAAGGUACUGUAAUGGUUAUAGAUCCUUGUAAUUAUUGAUCUUCAACGAGGAAUUCCUAGUAAGUAUGUGUCAUCAUCACGCACUGAUUACGUCCCUGCCCUUUGUACACACCGCCCGUCGCACCUACCGAUUGAAUGGUUCGGUGAAGAUCUCGGACUUCGAUAUUUAUUCUUUAUUGAGUUUAUAUUGUGGGAAGUUAUCUAAACCUCAUCAUUUAGAGGAAGGUGAAGUCGUAACA